CUGGGGAGCGAGAGCGCGCUAGGUCUCCCGCUCGCCGCCGCCGCCACCGUGCCGGGCCUCCGCUGUCGCCGCCGAAGUUGGCGCCGCCGGAUGACGGGCCAUUAACAAUCUUAUCACCCCUCGUCUAGAUCUGGCCUGUCGAGUAGGCUUGACAAACCCAACAACCUAGAUCGGAAACCGGAGAACUUUGACAACGCAGAGCGACAUUGGCUAUCCUUCCUGCUUAUUUAACGGUGCCACUUCUUUAGAGGGGCUGGGGAUUACGACGUAGGAAGGUAAGAGAGGGUGUGUGUUGCGCGAAACCGCGAGUGAAAAGAAGUACGGACGUAAUGGCCGCGAAGGCGGAGGUACGGAGGUGAGAGUCGGUGGAGGCGGAUACCUGGAGGAGAGGGACGGCGGCGGCGCGGACAAAGGAGGGAUGCCGUUGCUACACAGUACGGAGGCGGAGGGGGUAGAGGAGACGUGACACUCACCACGGCCGAGGAGGAGUCGGGGGUAGAAACCCACAGGUUCUGCUCCCCGUUUUCCAGGUCAUCCACCACGGUAGAGGUGGAGGUGGGAGUGGAGAAGUUGCGACGGAGGCGUAAACACUGGCGAAACCACGUGGUCUACUCCUGGUACUGCAGGUCUCCACCUUUGUGUCGGGACCCCUCCGUGGGGAAGUCCAGAAUUAAGUAAUGCAGUACGGAGACCUUGAUAGCCCUGACUUCUCUGACAAGAACCCAUCUUGGACGACUCCGUCUCGACGAUGAUCUGAAGACCUUAUUCCUUUUUCGGUGUUUGUCACCGCUGAAACUCUUACUCCCCCGUUUAAGUCGAGUACACCGUAGUCUAAAUUAAAAGAGCAGGUUCUUUUCGUCCUAAGGCAACUUUCUUCUUGAACUUCUACCAUCAUAAGCAGCAGUUCCCUCCUCACCUUCUCCGUGAUAAAACGUACAAUUUCCCACAAGUAGGUAUGGUUUUCUCUUCAACCUGUCGUGACUUUGUUCCUUCAACCAUUUCUCAAUUCAAUCCGGCAGUUCUUUCCAAGCCUGGCGUUUCGUAGUAGAGUCGUGAGUCUUUAAGACUUAACACCCAGUUACCUACGAUGUCUACUGGCUCUUCUCGAAGAUCGACGACGUUUACGACGGGUACCACGGUAUCAACCACGCAUACGACCAGGAAAAACCUUCUUUUAUAGUGGGUACGAAUGAAAGUAGUCGAGACUUCUAAAUAGGAAGAAUUUUUUGGUCUAUUAUAAAAACCUUCUCGAACUCUACCCGUACAGAUUAUUCGUGCUUCUUCUAUUCAAUUGACGUAGGUGAUUGAUGUUACCCGGUGGUAGUUACCGUGAAGGGGAAGACGGUGAGGGGAUGAGAAUAGCACGUUCUACAAAAGUCAACUCGUAAGGAGGGGUCCAAGAUGGAGGUAGGUUAAGAAGAAACAACGACCUAGUUCCCCUUCGUUUACCACAACCUGGUUCUCUUAGACAACUGUAAAACAGAAUAUUACCGUUCUUAGUAUUGUUGUGUAGAGUUUUCCGUGUCCCCGUUCCUUAUAAACCACUUUACCGAGGGAACUGUUCAUGUGACGAGACACGAAACUAACAUCUUCUACAACUACUGAAAGGGCUCAGGUUACCACAGGUUCCUCUAUAUGAAGACCUCAAGAGGUUACUGAUGUAAGGAGCACGACGGCGUCAACUCAAACUUCGAUACCCGAUCUUAGGUCAAAACCCUACAGGGGACUAAAGUUCGUAAGUAUGUCAUUGGGUCGUAUAUUGACGUACAGGUUACCAAAGAGUGAAAGGUCAUUAAACUCCGCGAGUAUAUCAGUUUAAAGUCAAACGUCAUUCUUAGAUAGUCUACCCUAUUUACAAUACCCCAUAGGUCUUUUGCCGAGAAACGUAUCUAGUCAUGGCGUCUAAUGUGUCGUCAUAGUUUGAGGGCCUUUUCUAAAUAAAAAUGGUUAUAUACCUAUAAUGAUACGUGUCUACAGAAACGUACUGUCCUGAAACCAGUUCAACGUGUCAUAACUGUAAAAAGGUCUCUACGGUCUCGACCUGCUCCCUCUCCUACUCCUAUAAUUAUUUCAAUAAAAAACUCGGCGUCUUUUCUGAGAAACUAGUCCCGUCUUCGUCGUGACCUCCACCGACCGCCACCGUCCCUCUGGGGCCUCAACUCCUCCGGUCUUCCCGAGUACACCGACAGUUGCGGGUAGUAGAGGUACAGUGUGAUUUCCCACUUCUUACACUCGUAGGUCUCAUAUAGUAAGCGCCCGGUGGGGGACGAUAGGUCAUGACGCCUCUCGAACUUUUUAUGACAGUGACCCCGUUACUUCAAUUCGAGAUAGUCGUGGUACACUUGUGGAACAAACGGUACAAGGCGGCGUUUUUCCGUCUGUAGUUUAUGAUACACACGUGGUAGUUGUUUUGUAAAAGUUUCGGUCCGGUCGCGCACAUAAAAGUCCAAAUGAUGUGACUUUUUUGGACUUCCUAAUGUAACUGGGUCUACUACUAUGUGAGUUCCACUUUGAACGUUUGUCACUUGACGUGCGGUUUACAGCGUAGUACGAUCCUUGGCUGUUCUCUCGGUGGUAUUGGUGGUUGACGUCCUGUAAUCUCCUCGUACGCUGUGUGGAGUUCUAGUGUAACCUUUAGGAUGUUAGUCAAUUCGACGGGUUUACGUAGAAACGUUGUCUGUUCUCUCUGAAGUCAGGGCGAUCAUCAAGGCGAACCUGAAGCUGCAAAUCGAGCAAUGGAGUCGAUACUAGAACACGGGAGCCGUCCUAGAACAUCUAUCAGUCCGAAGACUCGAAAGAAGAGAACAUCAACAG
rnacentral:rRNA from 1 species